CCUCUCUGGACGGAACUGCUCAGGCUCUGCCCAAUAAUUUGGGUCUCUCUGUAUUGCCCAUGCAUUGAUGAUUACUUGUGUCCCCGCAGCAAUGUCAUACCCAUUUAUUUUGGCAUCCUGGGAGGGAUACCGAAACAGCAGCAAUGGGAGUGGAGGAUUUUUUUCAUGACUUGGGGAUGUCUCAGCAGCUCUGUCAUUGCCCACUCCAGUAGUGUGUAUGAGGUGUCGGACCCAGCAGCAAACAUAUCCUUCAUCAAAUGCAAAACCAGUUUUGACUUUUUGAUUGCCUGGGAUGUUAUUUAGCUGCAAGAAUACGGAGUUGCAAUGGCUAUAAGAGGAUACCGUCUGUUGAUUUUCACACUCGGGCUUUCAGGCACAUGAAACACUUCAUUUUCUACUCCAUUGGCUGAUUUCCAAUCAAAAGAGUAAACAACAUUUGCUAAUGCUAUUUCAGCAAGUGGCUAGAGCAAAGGGUGCCCCUGGACAACCUCUUCUCCUGCUUUAAACGGAAUCAACUGGAAAUUCUUCUCUCUGGAUUUAAUUCCACAGGAUUUCCCAAUAUAUCGGGUCUCUCUGUAUUGCCCAUGCAUUGAUUAUUACUUGUGUCCUUGCAGCAAUGUCAUAACCAUUUAUUAUUUUAUUUUAUCUUAUACUCUCUUUCUCUGGCAUUGAACCAGUUAUGUGACUGCUAAAUUCAGAAUAGAUGAUACAUUUUUUUAUGCCAUUACACCUUUUGUUUGUGUGGAUAACCCUAUCAUAUUUUUCUCGUCUUGUUUUUUACAUGGGAAGAAAACUCUGUUUUGCUCCGACUCAUAUCAAACACGGAUAUGUAUUAUAUUUUGGAGAAGUGGAAUGAAGGGAUGCAUUGUAGUUAAUCUCAGGGUUAUAGAACAGGAGACUGGAUAUGGAAUCACUCUUCUACUUUAAGUGCAUCAUAAGAUUUCAUAGCCUUACAAACAAAUAUUAAUUAGAGUUAGAACAUCUUUAACCGUGUUAAUAUGCAGAACAAUUCGCAUUAUCUGAGGAGAUGAAAGGAUAUGAACAAAAUGGGCUAAUGUGACUGUUUUGCCUUGACAUGGUCCAAGGAGUGUAUGAUCUUCAAAGGACCUUUACACACACAAGGAAUUUAUAUGGCAGUGGACAAUAAAUUAUGUUGAAAGACCAAAUUCUCAGAAGGUCCUGUCUUUGGCGGCUUUGGCAUUCGCCGAUCUAUCAAGACACUAUGACUCAGAAAGCCAUAUACAGCUUGUAGUUUGCCGUGGUAUAUGGUCCGGUACAGAAUAAUAAGAUGAGAAAACAUGUGGAGUAGCAACAGCAAGAAGAGGAGUCUUCCUAUGUAUAGUGAGACCAGUACAUUCAGACAUGUCAAGUGUUUCGGCACUGACCCCAGCAGGACGAAACUCCUCUGGCUCUUCCCAUGUUGCAGGGUCUCUCUGUACUGCCCAAGCAUUAACAAAAACAAGAGUCCUGGCAGCAAUGUUGUAACCAUCUAUCUUUACGUCUUGGGUUGAUUCUCGAGGAACCAGCAACGGAAUUGGUGGAUACACCCGUAGAGUCUCCUUGAUCACCGCUUUCAAGCUUUCGUAAGAGCUCUGUCAUCGCCCAUUCUAGCACCGUGUAUGUCGUAUCUGUUCCUGCUGCAAAGGCGUCCUGCAUGGAUUGUACAUGUAAUUUCAGAACAUAAGGAAUUCUUGCACUUUUUUUUUUUUUUUUUUUUUUUUUUUUUUUUUACCUGAAGUUGAUGAUGCAACUAUGAAAGUAUAACAGUAUAAGGAGAUUAAAGAGGCAUGCCAUAAGAAAAGCUUCCUUACAAAUCAAAACAAAGAAAAGUUGUUAUA